ensembl:lncRNA
UUUUUUUACAGUCAGGCCCUUAUAAGUGUCCUUUUGUGAAUGCAUAGGGCUCAGCAACUCUUAGGGCCUGUUUUUAGCUGGUUUUUCUGGAUGGAGUCUCAGCAAAAUUUGGAUGCUUAUUGAUAUAGGUGCCUCCAUGGAAACUGAGCCCUUCUGCAUGCCUGAUAAUCAUUGUUUUGUGUGACCUGAUCUUUCUACGUCCACAUAACCUUCCUGGAGACCUCCUUGUUGCAGAGAGAAAUGAGCUGAAGGGAAAAAAGAAUCAGGAUAAAACAUACUACAGUAACCCUUACUAAUGAAUGAAAGCAUCCUCAUGCAUUCUUCAAGUACCUGCUUUGAUAUCCGAGUACGAUAGAGCUAUAGGCUAAGCUCUGAUUUGGACCUUCAGUAUGUUAAUGCUACAGCAUUCAUUCACAGAUCGUUUCAUUAGUUUUAUGCCGUUUUCCUAAGCUGAGCUGGAGUAGUGAAGAAGCCUGGAAAACCCAGUAGUGCUGGAGGGGACUGUCACCAUGCAGUGAUGGAGAUGUGAGGCCAGGCAUCUGAGCCCAUUGUGAGAAAGGAUUCCUUUUCAACGUGUGUGCCAGAGAGAUCUGAACAGCAGCUACUUCAUCUCAGUCAUGAAAUACUGUAAUUUUUGUGAUGUACAGGUUGUACAGCUAAGGCCAUAAAACUUGGUGAAGAGAGAACCUCUUGAGAAGCCAUUUCUGCUCAUGAGCAUAUCCACUCAUGCCUUAUAUGUCACUAUUUGUCUUUUAUAUUUUGAAAUAUAUUUUUUGCAUGAUGGUUGUAGUUCAAAGCUUCACUGAAGGGAAUAACACUUGACUGAGCUGUUUUGAUUCUUGUAAUGCAAAAGUUUAUUUUUGGUUCUGUUCCUUUGUCAUCCAGACAUACACAUAUCACAUUGACUGAUAAAAGUUACUAGUAGAGAGGAAUCUGUCCUAAGAACAGCAUCUUUAGCAAUACUAAAGCUUCAGGGAACCUUUAUUAAGAUGCAGGUACCAAAUAA